rnacentral:misc_RNA from 1 species
CUCUCUCUCUCUCUCCACUUAUCCAGAAACACAAUUCUUUCAAUAUCCAGUACUCUUUAACUUUUCGUUUCUGCUUAAUAACAAGCCAUGCCAAGAAUCAAUUUUCCAUGAAGCAAUUUGCUAUUUAACAAAUUUGCAGGAAUAGGAGCUAACAAAAUUUUUAUCAACUCCCCAUACUCUUACAAUCAGAUUAUAUUCUACUCAAAACCUGGUUUACAAAAAAAGCCUAAAUCAAAAGAUGCAUAGUAAAUGAUGAAAGCAAUCAAAUAUAGAGGAGUACACUAACAAUACUUUAAAAUUGCUAAUAUUGUGGCUUAUGUCAGAAUUACCCUAAACAGGGUGGAACAGAGGCAAAUAAUUCAUAUAGCUGAAAAGUUUAGAUGAGUUGUGCAUGUCAUUAUCA